GUCAGACUGAUCUGUCAAUCUGAGCAUAGGAUCACAGUAAUCCACCUGUUUAAUGGGCCUUAUCAAACACUAGGUUUAGAGUUUGUGCAUGCUCUUUUGCGUUUAGUAAGAGUUUACAGGUCCAAUGCUGCUCCUUUUUGGUCAUGGUGCUAUUUCCUGAUUUCUUCUGCAAUCUUAUCUAACACAGCUUGAAUACAGCAUUAGAGAGACCCCAGCCUUACUCCAAAAUGCUCAUAAGUUUCAGUCAUUGAAGAGCAGGCCCAGGAUAGGCACCUGAUAGCAAAAGGGAGAAAAAUGUUUGAUUAAUCCAUACAGGUUGAGUUAACAAGACAACCUCUCAGAACUGCAAUUGUCAGUAAAAGUGAUUUUCACAUUAUGCGAUCAUCAGUGAUGGAAGCUCUGUGCAAAAUCUGUAUGCUGGUACUCCCAUGGUAUGGAAUAUGGAAAUUUCUUC